AGGAAAAGAAACCAACAGGGAUUGCCUCAGUAACGGCGAGUGAAGCGGCAACAGCUCAAAUUUGAAAUCUGGCCCUCGGGUCCGAGUUGUAAUUUGCAGAGGAUGCUUCGGGCGAGGCUUUGAUCGAGUCCCCUGGAAUGGGGCGCCACAGAGGGUGAGAGCCCCGUAUGAUCAGCCGCCGAACCCGUGUGAAGCUCCUUCGACGAGUCGAGUAGUUUGGGAAUGCUGCUCUAAAUGGGAGGUAAAUUUCUUCUAAAGCUAAAUACCGGCCAGAGACCGAUAGCGCACAAGUAGAGUGAUCGAAAGAUGAAAAGCACUUUGAAAAGAGAGUUAAAAAGCACGUGAAAUUGUUGAAAGGGAAGCGCCUAUGACCAGACUCGGGCUCUUGGGAUCAUCCGCCCUUCUGGGCGGUGCACUCCCUCGUUCUCGGGCCAGCAUCGGUUCUCCUCGGGGGAUAAAGGCGCCAGGAACGUGGCUCCCUUCGGGGAGUGUUAUAGCCUGGCGCGUCAUGCUCCGGGGGGGACCGAGGACCGCGCUUCGGCAUGGAUGCUGGCGUAAUGGUCACCGGCGACCCGUCUUGAAACACGGACCAAGGAGUCAAGCAUUAGGGCGAGUGUACGGGUGUAAAACCCGAACGCGCAGUGAAAGCGAACGCUGGUGAGAGCUUCGGCGCAUCACCGACCGAUCCUGAAGUCUUCGGAUGGAUUUGAGUAGGAGCCUUAACGCUUGGACCCGAAAGAUGGUGAACUAUGCCUGAAUAGGGUGAAGCCAGAGGAAACUCUGGUGGAGGCUCGCAGCGGUUCUGACGUGCAAAUCGAUCGUCAAAUUUGGGCAUAGGGGCGAAAGACUAAUCGAACCAUCUAG
rnacentral:rRNA from 1 species